rnacentral:rRNA from 1 species
ACAUGCAAGUCGAACGCUGGAGAUCUAGCUUGCUAGAUCGAAGGAGUGGCGAACGGGUGAGUAAUACAUAAGCAACCUACCCACGAAGACUGGGAUAAUCUCUGGAAACGGGGACUAAUACCGGAUAGGUAAUCGGAAGGCAUCUUCUGAUUAUUAAAGGUUAAAAACACUGGUGGAUGGGCUUAUGGCGCAUUAGUUAGUUGGUGAGGUAACGGUCCACCAAGACGAUGAUGCGUAGCCGGCCUGAGAGGGUGAACGGCCACAUUGUGACUGAGACACGGCCCAGAACUCCUACGGGAGGCAGCAGUAGGGAAUUUUCGGCAAUGGGGGAANACCUGAACGAGCAACGCCGCGUGAGUGAAUGACCGCCUUCGGGUUGUAAAGCUCUGUUGUACGCGGAAGAACGGUAGAUAGAGAAUAUC